GGGAACUCCAGGGAGACUGCCGGUGAUAAACCGGAGGAAGGUGGGGACGACGUCAAGUCAUCAUGGCCCUUACGAGUAGGGCUACACACGUGCUACAAUGGCGCAUACAGAGGGCAGCAAGCUAGCGAUAGUGAGCGAAUCCCAAAAAGUGCGUCGUAGUCCGGAUUGGAGUCUGCAACUCGACUCCAUGAAGUCGGAAUCGCUAGUAAUCGUGAAUCAGAAUGUCACGGUGAAUACGUUCCCGGGCCUUGUACACACCGCCCGUCACACCAUGGGAGUGGGCUGCAAAAGAAGUAGGUAGUCUAACCUUCGGGAGGACGCUUACCACUUUGUGGUUCAUGACUGGGGUGAAGUCGUAACAAGGUAGCCCUAGGGGAACCUGGGGCUGGAUCACCUCCUUAUACGAAGAUA
rnacentral:rRNA from 1 species